ensembl:snRNA U1 U1 spliceosomal RNA
GUACUUACCUGACAGGGGAGAUACCAUGAUCACAGAAGUGGUUUUCCCAGGGCAAGCCUCAUCCAUUGCAGUCCAGUUCUUGAGAUUUCUCCAAAUGUGGGGAAUUUGAAUGCAUUAAUUUGUGGCACCGGGGAACUGUGUUCCUGCUCUCCCCUG